rnacentral:rRNA from 1 species
GUCGAGGGGCAGCGGGGGAUGCGUUCGCGCAUUCUGCCGGCGACCGGCGCUCGGGUGAGUAACACGUAUGCAACCUGCCCCGUCCAGGGGGAUAAUCGGCGGAAACGCCGUCUAAUACCGCGUAUAUCGGUACCGGGCAUCCGGGAUUGAAGAAAGGGCCUUAGGGUCCGGGACGGGAUGGGCAUGCGGCGCAUUAGGAAGUUGGCGGUGUAACGGACCACCAAUCCGUCGAUGCGUAGGGGUUCUGAGAGGAAGGCCCCCCACACUGGUACUGAGACACGGACCAGACUCCUACGGGAGGCAGCAGUGAGGAAUAUUGGUCAAUGGGCGGGAGCCUGAACCAGCCAAGUCGCGUGAGGGAAGAAGGUACUGAGUAUUGUAAACCUCUUUUGCCAGGGGACAAACGGCGGCACGCGUGCCGUCCUGAGGGUACCCGGAGAAAAAGCAUCGGCUAACUCCGUGCCAGCAGCCGCGGUAAUACGGAGGAUGCGAGCGUUAUCCGGAUUUAUUGGGUUUAAAGGGUGCGUAGGCGGGAUGCCAAGUCAGCGGUCAAAUACGGGGGCUCAACCUGCGUCCGCCGUUGAAACUGGCGUUCUUGAGUGGGCGAGAAGUACGCGGAAUGCGUGGUGUAGCGGUGAAAUGCAUAGACAUCACGCAGAACCCCGAUUGCGAAGGCAGCGUACCGGCGCCCGACUGACGCUGAAGCACGAAAGCGUGGGUAUCGAACAGGAUUAGAUACCCUGGUAGUCCAUGCAGUAAACGAUGAACACUAAUUGUCCGGCGGGGUUUGCCGCUGGGUGAUACAGCGAAAGCGUUAAGUGUUCCACCUGGGGAGUACGCCGGCAACGGU